CCUGCCUCAGCCUCCUGAGCAGCUAGGACUACAGGUGCCCCCCACCUCACCCGGCUAAUUUUUUGUAUCUUUAGUAGAGACGAGGUUUCACCAUGUUAGCUAGGAUGGUCUCAAUCUUCUGACCUCGUGAUCCACCCGCCUCAGCCUCCCAAAGUGCUGGGAUUACAGGGGUGAGCCACCGCACCCUGCCUGUGUUUUCUAUCCAUUACUACAAGAUAACUGCAUGGCAUUCUCCCUUCCUGCUGAAGACUUUUGCUCAAAUGUCACCUUAUCAGUGAGAAGGUGACCAUCCACUUGUAAAUUGAACCCAUACCCGAACAGGCCUGAGGCCAUUUCAUCUUGCCACAGGAAACCUAACAAUGAAUCCAACAGGGAGGAGGAAGAGAUUGGAGUGAGUGACAGAUUGGAUCCUGAUGGCAGUAUGGGGACUAGGGAAUCCAGUCCAGAACCCUAGAAUUGGCACAAGUCACUGGCAAUGGAAAAGAAUGACAGAGGAUUCCUAAAGCUUAGGCUCUAUGGGCAUGCCUGAAACAUCCCAAGGCUCAGGGAAAAAAGGAACUGAAGACAAAUACCGUCAGCUUCACCAAUCACAUGUCAUUGACUGAAACAUACUUAAUAAAGCCAGCAUUCCUUAGGGUGGAGAAGAUGUCAGAAUGCUAUAAGAAGAAACAUGGAAGGAUCUUCUUUCACUAGUUAAAUAACAUCAGCAGUGGAUGUUUCGGAGCGGAGUGAGAAUAUGGAGACUUUGAGAUGCUAACAUAGCUGCAGUACAUGAAAAUUUUCAAAUAUAAUCUAAAAUACAAAAUAAGGAAAAUUAAUAUAAAUCAUAUGAUACAAUUUAGUAUGUAGGCACUACUACAAUCAAGACAGUUUUCUAAAAACUGGAGCAUUGUGUUUAUGUUUGAGUUUUAGAUUUGGUCUCUUGAAAACUGGUAUUUUUUAAUUAUCCCAUUUCCCAAAUAUAUUUUUUCAAAUACAGAAAUAACUCAUUGCAUUUAAAUUAUCAGUUGCACAUGUUAUUCUCAUUAUUGUCUGUCCAUGAUAAAUGUUGCUGUUAUCUAUGAAAUAGCCAUCUUAAAAGUUAUCAUUGGGAUUUUAAGUCAAAGAUAUAAUUUAUUUUACUAAGUAAGACUAAACAGUUAUGAUUUUAGCAAAAAUGUAGAGGCAUCAGAUUAAUUCUUAUUCAGAUUAGCAUGUUUGCAUUUUAAAACUAAAAUGCACAAUAGGUUUAAAGCCUAAUAGUUAAUAUUACCUUUUACAGUCACUAUUCAUGAUUCUAUUGAGUCUUGGCCGAGAUGAGUGAUGUAUUAUUUCUAUAUCUAAAAAGGGUUUAGAAAUAACCCCUUUUUGCUUCCUGUGUAGGUAAGGAUGGGUUUACAAACACCCAUGAAACUAAAAUGGGCAUUCGGAGAAGCAGAAAAUAAAUGUCUCUAGGCUUAGGAGUAACAUGAACUUGCAAUUCUACCACUUACAUAUCUGACACAAGACUAACUCUGUAGGAAGCAAACUUAUUACAAAUAUUUCCCCAUUCCACACACCUAACUUGGGUAAACUGUUAUUAGGUAAAUUACUUAAUGGAUAAUUUAUUUUAACUAUGAAUACUUCACAAUGUAUUUUAACAAUGUAUGAGUUAAAUCAACAUAUUACCAAUGUGUGUGUUAUUUAAAACACUAGUAGUGAUAGACCUGCCUAUCAACAACCUAUUAACAACUCAAAAACUCUAAAUGAAUGGGACCCAGCACAGGCAAAUUUAAGUUGAGAGAGAAAGCAAACUAUUCCAAUAGUUAGGAAUGGCUUUCAUUUAAAGGCAAGAAGGC
rnacentral:lncRNA from 1 species